GAUACGUGCCCGAAAGUCAAGGACUACUUUGAUAGAGUAAUUAAUAAGAGUUCAAACCUCUUCAUAUCU
rnacentral:tRNA from 1 species